AAUAUAGAAUAAAACUCAAAACUUUAUUUCACUAUAAUCAGAAUUAAGCAAUAUAAAAAUAGAAACUACUUAGAGAUUAAUAAAAACAAAAUUAACUACUUUAGAACUAAUAAUCCUAAAUUAACUACUUUAGAACUAAUAAUCCUGAUCAAUAAAAUAUUGAUCUAUGGAUAUUCUUAAUUAUUCUUCUCUCCCUUAGAUGGAGACGCACGUGGUGGAUGCUUGAAUUUUGGCCAUGAAUGAUAAGGAAAUUGGUGACGGAAACCUCCAGAAGACAUGGGUGGAUGAGCAAAUGCCCAUGGACGUGGAUGGAACCAUGGAUGACGCGGAUACCAAAACCACCAAUCUAGUUCCUUAUCAGCGGCUUCUGUAGUGGCAAUUUCAGCUUCUGUAGUGGCAAUUUCAGAUUUUGAAGAUGGAGACGCACGUGGUGGAUGCUUGAACCAUGGAUGAGAAGGAAACUUGUGGCGGAAACCGCCAGAAGACAUGGGUGGAUGAGCAAAUGCCCAUGGACGUGGAUGGAACCAUCGAUGACGAUACCACCAAAACCACCAAUUUGGUUCCAUAUUAGUUUCUGCAGUAUCCAUUUCAUCAUUUGAAAAUGAAUCGGGAUUCUCACUACUUGCUAAACAUAAGUUAACAAGUAGAAAAAUGCAGAUGAGAAAGGUAAUAAUGGAAUUUUUCUUAGCCAUAGCUAAUAGUAAGUUUUUCUUUUUUUGUAACUCUUGUGAUGAAAAUGAAGGGUGUGGUGGGGAUUUUAUACGGUUUCAUUUGACUUUGGAGAAUUUUCAAGUAUAUCAACUAUUUGAUUUUAUUUCAUUCAUGUUUAUCAUAAGUGGAGUUUGCAUACAAAUUAAAUUUUUAAAGUUAACUGUAAUUAUCAAGAAGUGAAGAAGUGGAGUUUGUAUACAAAUUAAAUUCUUAAAGUUAAGUGUAAUUAUCAAGAAGUGAAGAAGAUAACAGUGUGAUGAAUAUCAAUAGAGUUUGCUUUCGAAUAAUCUCUUUUCUACUCAACUCAUGCGGAGAAAUAAACUGAUAGAUUUUCAGUUCACGGGGAUAACCAUGAUCUAAUUUCAAUUUAAAAAAAAAAAAAAAAAAAAAAAAAUUUUUUACAAUAUAUUUUAUUUUAAAAAAAAUAAAAAAUUAAGAAAUAUUGUUCUGUUUAUUUUGCUAAACAUGCAUCUUUUUACAUUUCUGCAUAAAGCUUUCUUUAUUCAAGCAUUUACGAUUUGCAUGUGAUAUGAAUAAAAUAUCACAGUGUAUUCAUUUCGAUAUGAAUUUACCUAGCUACAUUUCUUCAAGCCAAUUCUUUCCUAAAGCAUUCAUGUUUAGUCCGAAAAAAAAAGUAUGAUAUAACAUAAUAUUAAAAAUGUCAUUAGAUUAGUUUAACUCAAUAAAUUGAUAAAUAUAACCUUUGUUCAGAACUCUACUGAUUGUUUUUUUUAAUCUUUGUUUGUAUUUUAAAUACGCACCUUAUUGUAUAAGGUAAAUUUUAGAUUUGAUAAGUGUUCAAACCAGAGAGUUAACAUGUGCCAAAAAUGACAAAUCGGAUGUGACUUGUGAGUCCCAAUACAAUAGACCCUUGUAAUCCGACUCCAACUUAUUGUACCAGACCGUCCUUUUGACAAUGCAUGAAAAUAAGUUAAUCAUCUUGUUUUUCAUGUUAUAGGUUUAUAAGAGCGAAAAAAAUAUUAUAUAAUCGGUCAUAUCAUCUAAAUAAUUAUAAAACUAGUGAGUCAAAUGGAUCAUGAAGAGAGAGUAAGUUUAACUGUCGAAUGUUAGCAACAACUGAAAAGUGUACUUGACUGUUCGAGUCGUGAAAGCUCGCUACAUGAAACUUUUGCCUCAUACAACUCCUCUACGGAUCGAAGUAGACCUAGCCCAGGCUUGUAUGGUUGGGUGUCUAACGUGUCCCCAAUAAUCAAGCAAAAAGGAUCUUAAGUGGACACAUAAGGGGCCUUACAAGGCUACAACAUCGAUUUCAUCAACCUACCAGGCUUUAAUGAUCGGAGCCUGGUAUAGCCCUUCGACAUAAAUUAUGUUGUUAAUAUAUAUAAUUGAAAGUAUUUUUGUACAUAGAUGACAAGAUGUUCAACCCUCUUUUAACUUCUUCUGUUUACUGUUUCAUGUUGUUUGUGCUCAAUUUCACUGCCAUAAUGGGAACAUAAUAUCAUAUGAAUAUGAAGAUUAUCAGUACUACUAUAUGCAUUGUUUGGUUACUCAAGAAAAAAAAAACUCUUUUCUGACUUUCUAGAAAAUUGAAACCUCCUCAGCAUGAUCAUGAUGACAUGACCAUAGUAAAGGCCAAAACCCACAUACAAAUUAAGACUUUUUAUAUCAAAUUUACGAUCUCUAGGUAAGUUUUGCGUAUAUGCUAUACCUUAUUCAUUAUUAUUUCCAUGAAAAACACAAACACAUAAGGCUUUUACUAUAUCAUUAUAGUAUCUUAUCACUUUUAAAAUUAAAUUAUUUUUAAAAUUAAAAAAAUAUCAUUCUUUUUUAAACAAACUAAUAAGAACAUAGUGUUACAUAACUUGCAGUCGGAAAUUUUUGGCCUAUUCAUACACCUUAAGCAUUUGUGUUUGACAUGUUUAGAAGAAACUCUUUUUCCUUCUAAGUACUCAAUAAAUAUUACUAUCGAUUCAAAUAAAUAUUAAUAUCAUUUUUAAUGGAAGAGUUACUUUACACGCGCACACACACAUCACAAAAAAUAAACAAGCAUACAGUUACGAUAUAAUAUAGAAAGUGAAAAGCUUCAUAUAAAUAAAACUCAAAUUUUAUUUCACGAUAAGAAAAAUCAAAUAAUAUUCCUAAAAACAAAAACUACUUGAAAAUUAAUAAAAAACUAAAUUAACUAGAUUAGAACUAAUAAUCCUAAAACAAAUAUUUAAUCAAUAAGAUAUUGAUCCAUUAAUAUUCUUAAUUAUUCUUCUCUCCCUUAGAUGGAGAGGGACGUGGUGGAUGCUUGAAUUUCGGCCAUGGAUGAUAAGGAAACUUGUGAUGGAAGCCACCAGAAGAGAUGGGUGGAUGUGCAAAUGUCCAUGGUCGUGGAUGGAACCAUCGAUGAUAAUACCAUGGAAACCACGAAUCUAGUUCCUUAUCAGCGGCUUCUGUAGUUGCAAUUUCCUUAUCAAUGGCUUCUGUAGUGGCAAUUUCAGACUUUGAAGAUGGAGACGCACGUGGUGGAUGCUUGAACCAGGGAUGAGAAGGAAACUUGUGGCGGAAACUGCCAGAAGACACAGGUGGAUGAGCAAAUGCCCAUGGACGUGGAUGGAACCAUCGAUGACGAUACCACCAAAACCACCAAUUUGGUUCCAUAUUAGUUUCUGUUGUAUCUAUUUCAUCGUUUGAGAAUAAAUCAGGAUUCUCACUACUUGCUAAACAUAAGUUAACAAGUAGAAAAAUGCACAUGAGAAAAGUAAUAAAGGAAUUUUUCUUAGCCAUAGCUAAUAGUAAGUUUUUGAACUCUUGAGAUGAAAAUGAAGGUUGGUGUGGUG
rnacentral:lncRNA from 1 species